rnacentral:rRNA from 1 species
CGUAGGCUUUUUUGUAUGUUUUCGGUGAAAGUCACAGGCUUAACUUGUGAAUUGCCGGAAAAACUGCAGAGAUUGAAUCCGAAAGGGGAAAGCAGAAUUCCUGGUGUAGCGGUGAAAUGCGUAGAUAUCAGGAGGAAUACCAGUGGCGAAGGCGGCUUUCUGGUUCGGAAUUGACGCUGAUGUACUAAAGCGUGGGUAGCAAACAGGAUUAGAUACCCUGGUAGUCCACGCCUUAAACUAUGGAUACUUGAUGUCGGGGCGUUCGGUCGACCCGGUGUCGUAGCUAACGUGUUAAGUAUCCCGCCUGGGGACUACGGUCGCAAGACUGAAACUCAAAGGAAUUGACGGGGGCCCGCACCAGCGGUGGAACAUGUGGUUUAAUUCGAUGCAACGCGAAGAACCUUACCUGGGCUUGACAUAUAUAUGGCGUAUGUAAGAAAUUAUGUAUUCUGUCUGUUUUUUCAGAUAGCAUAUAUACAGGUGAUGCAUGGCUGUCGUCAGCUCGUGUCGUGAGAUGUAGGGUUAAGUCCCUUAACGAGCGCAACCCUUGCUUUUAGUUGCCAUCAGGUAAUGCUGGGGACUCUAGAAGGACUGCCGAGGUUAACUCGGAGGAAGGUGGGGAUGACGUCAAGUCAGUAUGUCCCUUAUGUCCAGGGCUACACACGUGUUACAAUGGUCGGUACAGAGUGACGCUAAUCCACGAGGUGGCGCCAAUCACUUAAAGCCGAUCCCAGUUCGGAUUGGAGUCUGCAAUUCGACUCCAUGAAGUUGGAAUCGCUAGUAAUCGCAGAACAGCAUGCUGCGGUGAAUACGUUCCCGGGC